GUCAGCGCUGGGGUUUUUCCGGCGCGCCGCUGAUUGGCCCGAUGCUCGUUGCUGACGUCACGGCUCCGCCAGCUGAUCGGAGUGAGAAAGCCGGUUUUUGAAGAGAGGAGUUGGAACCGGAGAGAGAGAGAGAGACACCGGAGAGAGGGAGCCCCGAGGAGCAGCGAGCAUGCACGGGGUGUGGGUCCGGCUAACCGGAUACUCAGACUGGACCGUUUUUUACGUUUUUCUUUUUUUUAAUUUAAAAAAGGGGUUUUAAAACGUUAACAGGCGGAAGUGCACGAGACACACGACGCAGACGGGCGGGGUUUGAGGGUGAACUUGCGGGGCUUUUGCAUCUCGUCUAAAACCCCCACUGGAACUCUGGAGAAAAAAAUUGAUUGAGAGUUAAGGUGUGGCUGAGGGUUUCUCUGUCAGGCUUCGACCCUGGAAACAUGUCACAACCCCGACUGUGUUCUCCUCGAGUGUCCAGACUCACACCCACCGAUACGUUUAUAGAUUCUGCUCCGUCAUUUUCAUCCGGGGAGAUAUUACAUAACUGUAAUCACCAUUUCUUUGACGCGCGCGCACACCUUGUCUCCACGCGCGCUCCCGGUAUAGAUGAAUUGGACUAUUACGCAGUUAAGAAUGUCUUCAAGGUGCAGCAGAUCUUCACGUCAACUUGAGAUCGUGGCGUCGGGAUCUACAUCCGGGGAAUCCGCAGAGGCGUUACAUGAUGGAGGGAAUCUGCCCGUGAGUGAAUUAAGAGCUUGUGAAAGGAGGGAUGAGAAUCCACCUGAUCCUACAGGACGGGAUCAUGCUGCUUUCCUGUGAUGUGUGCCAGUAGACCUGGGUGGCCUGCACCUGCACCUGCAGCUGCUGCUCCAGCUGUGACGAGCAAACAAGCUGCCGCAUCAUCAAAGGAGCCGACGGCGUCACACACAAAACAUAGAAUUGAUCAUUAAAGUUAACGCAUGAGAAAAAAUCUGAUUUUAAGGGCCUUAUUAUUUGUCACAUUAAACGUCUUUAUAAGGAUAA